CAAGGACUGGAGGCGGAGUGACAAACGACGGUGCCAACGGCAGUUGGUCUAAUGACAUUUAUAAUUAUUCUCAUUCAACAACGGGCAGACUCUUUUCCCCUCGAGAUCCUAACACACACUGAACUAAACAGGAAAUUCCCACACCUGUAAACUGUCCCACCGGAACUAUGUAACGUGAACUUAGUUUC